UCACGAGAAGGUUUUAUUCCUGUUGCUAGGAGGCGAAGCCGACAAGUUUUGUUUUUGUCCUUUUUUUUAAGGGUAGCGAUUAGAGCCGGCUUUCAUCAAUUGUGCGCGGUCGGAACGAAUGACCUUCAUAGAAGUUCUUAAACCUGUUUCUAUAAGGACAGGUGCAAUACAAUAUGCCGUGGCAAAUAACAGCAAACCCUCUCAACUCCCCCAACAUUAAAGAUAUAUUGGGAUUCUACAAUUGUAACAGACUAGCCAAUUCAAAACAUUGUGCAUGACCAGAUUCUACUCCAACCCACACUUUCUGGCAAAUGAAAGUACAGGGCGGGGCAUAACCUUUUCCUAGGGGGUCACAGCAAGAUCGACAGCAGUUUACAA